rnacentral:lncRNA from 1 species
GGACGGACAGACCGACCGACGCGGGCCACCGGGCUCUCCUCGCCGCCGGUGCGGCGGGCGCGGGGCCGCGCGGGGACGCCUGAUAUCUGCAGCGCGGGCGGGCCGCCGCGGAGCGGAACCAGACAAAGGCGCCGGGACGCCUGCAGGUGGAUUCUUUAGCACUGAACCACCAGAGAAGCCCCUGCUGUAGUAUUUCAAGAGGUAAAAAAUAACCUGAUUGCUGUUGGUAUCUUGGAGAGGAUGCCUUCCUCCUACCCCUUGCUGUCAGGUAACAAGUCUA